GAUGAAGAACGUAGCGAAAUGCGAUAAGUAAUGUGAAUUGCAGAAUUCAGUGAAUCAUCGAAUCUUUGAACGCACAUUGCGCCCGCCAGUAUUCUGGCGGGCAUGCCUGUCCGAGCGUCAUUUCAACCCUCGAACCCCCGGGCUUGGUGUUGGGGAUCGGCGAGCCUCCGCGCCCGCCGUCCCCUAAAUCUAGUGGCGGUCUCGCUGUAGCUUCCUCUGCGUAGUAGCACACCUCGCACUGGGAAACAGCGCGGCCACGCCGUUAAACCCCCAACUUCUGAACGUUUGACCUCGGAUCAGGUAGGAAUACCCGCUGAACUUAAGCAUAUCAAUAAGCGGAGGA
rnacentral:misc_RNA from 1 species